AAUAUUUAGUUGUUUUUUUUUUGUUCGUUCAAUUCGAUUUUUUUCGUCAAAGAGCUGGUCGGGCAUUCUGAGAAAGGUAGGUAUAUACGGCUCCGCGGGUCCGCUGCAGAAGGAUCGUAGGAGUGCGUAUAGCCACCACAACAAGGCUGAUCGAGCAGUAAUUCGAUUCCCGAGCGAUUUCAAAAGCCACACGUAGACAAUCAACUAUCAAGGUGAGGGCCGUAUACGUAUUUUUUAAUAAACCGUCAGUAAUAAUAUCAGGUGUGUUUUGUCUACGGAUUUGCAGAUACCCUC